CAGCCGCCGCGGUAAUACAGAGGAUGCAAGCGUUAUCCGGAAUGAUUGGGCGUAAAGCGUCUGUAGGUGGCUUUUCAAGUCCGCCGUCAAAUCCCAGGGCUCAACCCUGGACAGGCGGUGGAAACUACCAAGCUGGAGUACGGUAGGGGCAGAGGGAAUUUCCGGUGGAGCGGUGAAAUGCGUAGAUAUAUGGAGGAACACCGGUGGCGAAAGCGGCUCUCUGGUCUGUAACUGACGCUGAGGCUCGAAAGCGUGGGGAGCGAACAGGAUUAGAUACCCCAGUAGUCCCUGUCUCUUAUAC
rnacentral:rRNA from 1 species